rnacentral:lncRNA from 1 species
UUGAAUCAUCUAUAUCUAUUCCAUUAGCACCAUCUGUAUUUUUGGUAGCUUGAUCUCUAUUCUCCUCCGCUUGAUCUCCUAUAUUCAAAAUUUCUUCGUCCCCAAAUUCCUUCUCUCCUUGGUCAUCCACGGAUUUAUCAUCUCUAUAUAAUGGUUGUUCAUCAGUCUGUACCCUCAAAUUGGCACUAGAAUAUCUCUGACCAAAUUCGUUACCACCAGUCCCUAAACUGUCAGAGCUAAUUUGGAUGCUGUUACUCUUAAUUGUUACAAAAAGCUCCAAAACUUUGACAUCGCUAU